rnacentral:tRNA from 1 species
GGUUGUGGCUCAGUGGUACAGCACUCGCCUAGCAUGUGCAAGGCCCUGGGUUCAAUCCUCAGCACCA